rnacentral:rRNA from 1 species
GAUGAACGCUGGCGGCGUGCCUAAUACAUGCAAGUCGAGCGAACAGAUGAGGAGCUUGCUCCUCUGACGUUAGCGGCGGACGGGUGAGUAACACGUGGAUAACCUACCUAUAAGACUGGGAUAACUUCGGGAAACCGGAGCUAAUACCGGAUAAUAUAUUGAACCGCAUGGUUCAAUAGUGAAAGACGGUUUUGCUGUCACUUAUAGAUGGAUCCGCGCCGCAUUAGCUAGUUGGUAAGGUAACGGCUUACCAAGGCAACGAUGCGUAGCCGACCUGAGAGGGUGAUCGGCCACACUGGAACUGAGACACGGUUCAGACUCCUACGGGAGGCAGCAGUAGGGAAUCUUCCGCAAUGGGCGAAAGCCUGACGGAGCAACGCCGCGUGAGUGAUGAAGGUCUUCGGAUCGUAAAACUCUGUUAUUAGGGAAGAACAAAUGUGUAAGUAACUAUGCACGUCUUGACGGCACCUAAUCAGAAAGCCACGGCUAACUACGUG